rnacentral:rRNA from 1 species
AGGAUGAACGCUAGCGGCAGGCUUAAUACAUGCAAGUCGUGGGGCAGCAGGUCUGUAGCAAUACAGGCGCUGGCGACCGGCAAACGGGUGCGGAACACGUACACAACCUUCCUUUAAGUGGGGAAUAGCCCGGGGAAACCCGGAUUAAUACCCCGUAAUAUAAUGAAGUGGCAUCGCUUUAUUAUUAUAGCUCCGGCGCUUGAAGAUGGGUGUGCGACUGAUUAGGCAGUUGGCGGGGUAACGGCCCACCAAACCUACGAUCAGUAACUGGUGUGAGAGCACGACCAGUCACACGGGCACUGAGACACGGGCCCGACUCCUACGGGAGGCAGCAGUAAGGAAUAUUGGUCAAUGGACGCAAGUCUGAACCAGCCAUGCCGCGUGGAGGAUGAAGGUCCUCUGGAUUGUAAACUUCUUUUAUCUGGGAAGAAAUCCACAAAUUCUUUUGUGGUUGACGGUACCAGAUGAAUAAGCACCGGCUAACUCCGUGCCAGCAGCCGCGGUAAUACGGAGGGUGCAAGCGUUAUCCGGAUUCACUGGGUUUAAAGGGUGCGUAGGUGGGUUGGUAAGUCAGUGGUGAAAUCUCCAGGCUUAACUUGGAAACUGCCAUUGAUACUAUCAAUCUUGAAUACCG